UCCAUAAUAUCUCUUGUAUCUAUCACCUUCUUUUCACCCACAUAACAUCACCCUAGUUCAGAACAUUUUCAUCUCUAUCCAGGACUAUUGCAAUAACUUCUUAUUGGGUCUCUGCUUCAAAUCUCUCGCCUCUCAUAUCCAUCUUCCAUAUAGCUACUAAAGUAAUUUUCUUAUAAAGGAGGGUCUGAUCAUGUCACAUCCCUGCUCAAAAAACUCCAGUGGCUCCCUAUUACUUUUAGAAUCAAACACAAACUCCUUUAUCAUUUAAAAUCUUUUACAACCUGCCUGCAAACUCUUGCCAACUUUAUUAGACAUUAUUUCUUCUCAGUUUUCUUUUCACACAAUAUUCCAUUGCAUAGAGUGUUUCCACCCACCCCUGGAAUGUAUUUCCAACUGUAAUGGAGGGUGGUUUGGGGGAUGGGAUUAGAUGUUUAAUUGUAGGCCAGUAUCAGAAGAAUAACUGUUUUGGGAAGGCCAACUGUAGGAUGACAGGCUAACAGGUCCAGUCUAGGCAGAGCCUGUCCUGAGGUGACAAACACAGACCACUAUAUAACAGGGAUGGAUGUUGGAUGUAUUAUGAUAAGGAAAGGUGAAAUGGGAAUUUGGGAUAAUCCUAAGCUAAUGUCAACUAUCUAAACCCCCCAGAUCUAAAUGUCCUGUCACGAGGAGUCUUCACAGAUUUGAACUACGCUGAUCCUUACCUACCUAAGAACCAGACCCUAUAAAUAAAUCUACACUAACCAAAAAAAAAAAAAAACAAAAACCCUUCUGAUGGUAAUAGAGUUAGUAGGGUUUGGCAGUUAGUCAGGACAGGGCACAGGGAGAGAUCCUGGAUCCAGAAGGACCCCAGACCCAAUUUUAUAGACAGAUGGUUCAGGAUCACACCAGGAAGCUCUGAAGAUAUCCACCAGUCAGCAGAGAAGCAGCCAAAUAUGCAUGCCGUGGAGACUUUGAAGAGAAACACUGUAGAGAGGCAGAGGAAAAAGACUUCUAAAAAAGCAGACAUGCACAAAAUUCUGGUCUCAUGCAUUUAUUUACUUGAACUUCUAGAGCUUGCUAGAAUGGACCUUCUCUGGUUAUUCUUCAGCUCUUCGGAUGAGAUGGCACCUUGAAUGGGUGGGGAAACAGAGGUCCAAAGGGAUUGAGUAACUUACCUAACGGCAUGCAUUUGAGCUUUGCGCCUUCAUUCAAGCCACAGCCCUGGUCUCCCUAAAAACAGGCUCAAAGUCAGCCAUGACGUGACUCGGACUCUCUCUCCUGCCUUUCUUUUUUCACCUCAACCAAUUAUUAUAAUUAAAUGAUUUCAAAGCACAGAUGUCUGAGAAGACAUGACAGAAAACACUUUUCUUCUCCCCCCACCAAUGACUCUACUGGGAAAUGUAAACUUCCUAUAUGAAAAAGGAAAGCUUGGUGUCCAUUUAAUUAUCACCCUCCUCUUGCCUAGCUUCACCUCAAGUUGAUUUGAAAUAGGAAUCACCCAGAUAGCUAAUGGAGGUCGACUUUGAGAGACAAACUAAGAACUUGGAGUAUGCCUUAUCUUUGGUUUUCCUAAGCAUUAGUUGGCUAUAGAGUAUGUACUCACCUUGGAUACAUAAAUGCUGUGCAUGAGCUCUCUCUCUCUUUUCAUUUUCCUGGGA
ensembl:lncRNA